UAAGUCAGUGGUGAAAUCUCCCCGCUCAACGGGGAAACGGCCAUUGAUACUGUAAGACUUGAAUUAUUAGGAAGUAACUAGAAUAUGUAGUGUAGCGGUGAAAUGCUUAGAGAUUACAUGGAAUACCAAUUGCGAAGGCAGGUUACUACUAAUGGAUUGACGCUGAUGGACGAAAGCGUGGGUAGCGAACAGGAUUAGAUACCCUGGUAGUCCACGCCGUAAACGAUGGAUACUAGCUGUUGGGAGCAAUCUCAGUGGCUAAGCGAAAGUGAUAAGUAUCCCACCUGGGGAGUACGUUCGCAAGAAUGAAACUCAAAGGAAUUGACGGGGGCCCGCACAAGCGGUGGAGCAUGUGGUUUAAUUCGAUGAUACGCGAGGAACCUUACCAAGGCUUAAAUGUAGAUUGACCGUUUUGGAAACAGAACUUUCGCAAGACAAUUUACAAGGUGCUGCAUGGUUGUCGUCAGCUCGUGCCGUGAGGUGUCAGGUUAAGUCCUAUAACGAGCGCAACCCCUGUUGUUAGUUGCCAGCGAGUCAUGUCGGGAACUCUAACGAGACUGCCAGUGCAAACUGUGAGGAAGGUGGGGAUGACGUCAAAUCAUCACGGCCCUUACGCCUUGGGCUACACACGUGCUACAAUGGCCGGUACAGAGAGCAGCCACUGGGUGACCAGGAGCGAAUCUACAAAACCGGUCACAGUUCGGAUCGGAGUCUGCAACUCGACUCCGUGAAGC
rnacentral:rRNA from 1 species